GUCGAGGGGCAGCGGGGUAGUGCUUGCACUACUGCCGGCGACCGGCGCACGGGUGAGUAACACGUAUGGAACCUGCCCGCAGCAGGGGGAUAAGCGGAAGAAAUUCCGUCUAAUACCGCGUAACAACGUUGGGAGGCAUCUCCCGAUGUUUAAAGAUUUAUCGGCUGCGGAUGGCCAUGCGGCGCAUUAGCUAGUCGGCGGGGUAACGGCCCACCGAGGCGACGAUGCGUAGGGGUUCUGAGAGGAAGGUCCCCCACACUGGUACUGAGACACGGACCAGACUCCUACGGGAGGCAGCAGUGAGGAAUAUUGGUCAAUGGCCGAGAGGCUGAACCAGCCAAGUCGCGUGAGGGAAGACGGCCCUACGGGUUGUAAACCUCUUUUGUCGGGGAGCAAAGCGAACCGCGUGUGGUUCAUUGAGAGUACCCGAAGAAAAAGCAUCGGCUAACUCCGUGCCAGCAGCCGCGGUAAUACGGAGGAUGCGAGCGUUAUCCGGAUUUAUUGGGUUUAAAGGGUGCGCAGGCGGAGGUGCAAGUCAGCGGUCAAAUUGCGGGGCUCAACCCCGUACUGCCGUUGAAACUGCAUCCCUUGAGUGCGCGAGAAGUAUGCGGAAUGCGUGGUGUAGCGGUGAAAUGCAUAGAUAUCACGCAGAACUCCGAUUGCGAAGGCAGCAUACCGGCGCGCAACUGACGCUCAUGCACGAAAGCGUGGGUAUCGAACAGGAUUAGAUACCCUGGUAGUCCACGCAGUAAACGAUGAACACUAACU
rnacentral:rRNA from 1 species